rnacentral:antisense_RNA from 1 species
AGGUCAGGCAUUCGAGACCAGCCUGAACAACAUGGUGAAACCCCGUCUCUACUAAAAAUACAAAAAAUUAGCCAGAGACAGGGUUUCACCAUGUUGUACAGGCUAGUCUCCAACCCCUGGGCUUAAGCAGUCCUUCUGCCUCAGGCUCCCAAAGUGCUGGGAUUACAGAGAUGCUCAAGCACUGAAUUGUCUUAAGAAAACAAGUAAGGUUUUGUCACCUAUCCUAUUUCUCACUGCAAGCUGAAAAAAAUCAAAUCCAAACACCACCACCCCUUCUAUGACAACAAACGGCUGUGGAGGUAAUCUUAUUUUUUUAAGGGUAGUUUCAUGAUGACAGUUUCAAAAAAUUACCGUGGAUAAAGAAAAAAUUGUCUCAAUGAAAUAGAAUUUUUCACUGAACACAGAAACCAUCUCAAUAGUUGCUGCUCCCUGGUUUCUAGGCCAUGCAACAGACAUCAAACUAGGAAGCCAAACUUUCACGGACCUGUG